rnacentral:misc_RNA from 1 species
AGAAUUGUAAUUAUAUAUCAAUUUGACACUCACAUUAUUCAGAUUACAGAAGACUGCACUUUGAUCAUACAUUUUGUAGCCUUGGAAUUGAAAAUUUCCUAUAAACUCACUAUUUCACAUAGGAUGUGAUCCAAAAUUACAUUUGAUAUUCCCACAUAGGGUAAACCAUAUAUAUUACAAAAUAUACAUACAGCCUACAUAAUUAAGGAAAAGGAACAUGAAUAUUCUAUCCAAAUAUACAUCACUCAAAUAAUGAACCAAAGAAGAAAAGAAAAGAAAAGCACUGCAGGAUUUUAUGCACUUGAAACCUCAUAUGGCCACCCAAAGCUACAUAUCACCUCACUCAAUCUUUUCUAUUAUUUCCAACCUGGUUUUCCUCUUCCAACCUUUCAUUGUAGCAACAAGGUUAAUCAACCCAACAAUUUGAUUCUUAGAAUAUUCUGGGUGAGCACGGGCCCAGUGCACAUACUCAGUUUCUGGAAGGUAGUAAGCCUUAAUGAAAGUUUCAACUAAUUGUAACUUUGGCUUCACAUUUGUGGAGACAAAAUGUUGCAGGCCAUUGAUCAAAACCUGAAGAUCCAAUGACAUGAGGGCUCGGCCUUCAUCAGUACACUUCUUCACCCGUGAUAGACCUUCAAUGAGAGUUUCAGCCACUAUUUCGAGACCAUAUUCUAGGAGGAGGUCCUGAGCCUAGGAAGAGAGAAACAUAGAUCAAAUGAGUUGAGCAUUCACAUAUUGACAAAGUUAAGAAGAUUCUCCUCCUAGUCCCCAGCAUUACAUGAAUUCUUAACAUACAAGCAAAGACUUAAGUCAACUAAACAAAUCCAUGGCAGAAACAAAUGGAAGUUAAUAAGUUAUUAAGACAUCAAUUUCUCGUAUACAUGUUCUCUUGUGCCGUGAACAACAAUCCAUUUGUGAAAUACAUAGCUCGUUGAAUGUGUGAAUCAAAGAUUUCAUAGGACUUUAUUUCAGAAGCUUAUUAUAAAAACAUAACGUAAAAUAUGAGAUAUUACUCCCUUUAGGUACCUAGCACUCUUUACAUCAUCUAAAACAGAAUAAAUCAAUAUAACUAUAAACAUGCUAAUGGCCAGCCAAGAAAAGUUGCACAAAUAAUGAACAAGGAGAUUGAAAUCCAUGCAACUCUGUUAGCAUAUCAGCCAUUCAAGAGUUUUGCCCAUUUAUUUGUCCACCUAUUUGCAAGUGUAAGAUCACUGUAGGUAAGUCUGGAAUGAAUCAAAAGGUUGAAGCAUGUUAUGAAACACAUCAAAAGUGGAGAAUCUGAUGAAUAUUCAACACAGGGAAUGCCAAAUUGAGAAGAAGAUACCUGCUAUUCUGCAGUUCUACUUCUUGGUCCUGCCAAAGUUAAUUAAUCAAAUUAUGCAAAGAUGUUCUUCAAUAAUACAGCGGACACCAAAUUCUAGAGAAUUUUAAGUUUAGAACAGAUAGGAAAACAUCUAAAGGGAAAACCUAUGAACAAGAUGUAACAUCGCACAGCCUCAAUGUAUGGAUGACAUGAUCAGAAAGAGAGAGAAACAGAAAGACAGCAAGAUAUUUCAGAAGUCUAGUUCACUUGUAAAUCUUAAUUACGCCAGCAUACCUCUUGCACAAUAUUCUUCAACACAGAGUGAGUUUCUGAUAGAACUUCCUGCAUGAAGAAGCUCUGUAUCUUUUCAGCAAGACCAGAGAUAUCUCCAAUUAAUGCAUAAGCAUCAACUACAUUUAUGUAACUCUCCUCCUUGAACUCCUGGCACACUCCUAACAAAAGUGAAUCCAGCUUUUGAAGGGUUCUUCCCAGCCAAACCUCAACACCUCGGGUCAUCUCCUGUAUGGCUGAAACUCUGAAAAACCAUCUAAUAGCUGUAAAUAUUCAGAUAGGACUUGGAAUGCCUGAGAAGCAAUGAAAAUGUAGUGUAUUUGUCCAGGAUGGCAACAAAGCAACAAAACAGUAACCCAUCAGGAGAGAAGGAAAGUGGAGAAUCAAAGGUCAAGCAUGGUAAGACACCAUUAGAUCAAAAUUACAUUAGCCCACCUUGCAAUAAUUCCCUUCUUCAACUAAGGAUUCAAGAACUGCUUGCAUGUCCAGUGCAUGAUGAAGGUCAGAUAAUAUAGGAAGCAUGUCCAGGAGAGCUUGUUUCUUUUUGGAAUUAGAAUUUACAAUGAGAUCCCUUGAGACCUCAUUCCUUGAUGAGGUUAAGUGCCUUCUUCCAUUCAUGCAGAUGACAUUUGCAACCUUCAAGUCUUUCUCUAAUUCCCUGACCAAAUUCAUCCCCUUCACCAUUACUUCAUAAUGCUCCAUAACUUGGUGGGAUAAACGUUCUGAUACUCUAUCCAAUUGUGCUAACCUAAGAGCAGCCUGUUUCUCAAAAUAUUCCAACUCAUUUUCUUCAGAUGGAAUAUGCUCUAAAAUGUGUCUAACUGGAUCAAAAUCCUCUUCGUAGAAGUCCUCUUCUAGUUCCUCCACCACUUGACCAUGUGAUCUGCUCCCAUAUAUUGAGCUUAAUUCUUCAGAACUUGAUGGAAGAUUCAAUCGCUGAUGAGGAGGCAGUCCAGCAAGAACACGAGCAACAGCUGCAGCAGCCGCAGCUCUUGCUGGAACCUCAGGUCGAUCAGAGGUGGAAGGCAAGAGACCAAGCGAUCUAGCGGAACGAACAGAGCUCAAAAUCUUCUCACCAACCUUGGACAAAUCCAUGCCACCUCCUUGGAACAACAAAAAGGGGACCAAGAAGAAAACCCUAGAGCUCUCAAAUCCACCGACACCAGCGUCGCUCAAAUCACCAUUGAAGAGAAAGGGAUUCCCAAAGACGGUACCAAAAGGAAAGAGAUUGGGCUGCAUUUCAACUCCGAAGUGCGAGAUCAAGCACCAGGAUUACCCCCAUUGAAUCGUCGAUUGAGAUCAGUCAGAAGAUUGAAACAUUCAUCUUUGGUGGGUUUGCCAUUAAACAGCUUGAGCAUUUGCCUCCUAUGGCAUAGAUGAAAAGGAUUCUCUUACCAAAACCACCAUUGAACAGCAGAUUUUCUCUUGAAAAUUACAGAUAUCCCUCUGCUUGAAAUCUAAAAGUAAUGUUAAAAAGGUUGAUGCUACUACCAUCAAUCAAACAUUAGAUAUGGCAUCCUCUACAAUGACGAAAAGAAAACAGAUAUUUCCUCACACUACCAUUGUCUGCUUCAUUCAGCUUCAUUGCACAACCAGCCAAUUUCCUCUGCCACCUCCAUCUGGAUCCUCUGUAUUCUCCUGUCAUGUCUUCCUCUCUUGUCAUGUCUUCCCCACCUGCGAUUUAGAAAGAAUGCUUUUCUUGUACACAUCCAAACGUGCAAGCAUUUACAGAGGACGCAACUGGCAUGUUGGGAUAGCAGAACUUGACUAUGAGCUUCUGGACAAGUUCUUCAUCCUUCACAAUCCUGAAUACAUAUAUAAAAAGGCGAAAGUUUAAUUUAAUGGUUACCAGUUGAUUUUCAUGUAUCAGUAUGUUACUUCUGAUAAAUACUUCCCAUGAAGGCUUUUUAAGAUCAAAACUUGAGCUUAAGCUUGUCGACAAAUUCUUCAUCACGGCACUGAGAAUUCAUGUGCCUCGUUCGUUAUGCUUGCUUUAUCUCUGCGCAUGUUUGCCUGAAAGCAUUUCUG